rnacentral:rRNA from 1 species
UUCCUNAGACGCUGGCGGCGUNCCUAACACAUGCANGUCGAACGAGAAAGUUCCUUCGGGGACAAGUAAAGUGGCGCAAGGGUGAGUAACACGUGAAUAAUCCGCCUUCGAGACUGGGAUAACUUGGCGAAAGUUAAGCUAAUACCGGAUAAGACCACGCUUCAUAAGGAGUGCGGCAAAAAGGGUCUCAAACCCUGCUUGAAGAUGAGUUCGCGUACCAUUAGCUUGUUGGUGAGAUAACAGCUCACCAAGGCGACGAUGGUUAGCCGGCCUGAGAGGGUGAUCGGCCACACUGGAACUGAGACACGGUCCAGACUCCUACGGGAGGCAGCAGUGGGGAAUAUUGCGCAAUGGGCGAAAGCCUGACGCAGCAACGCCGCGUGAGCGAUGAAGGCCUUCGGGUCGUAAAGCUCUGUCAAGUGGGAAAACCAAUGACNGUCCCUANAGGAANCCCCGCUACUUCNUGCCANCACCCGGUAUACCAAGGGGCANCGUUNUCGAAUUUUGGCUUAACCUNUUNNGUGUUUUUAA